rnacentral:antisense_RNA from 1 species
AUUGAUUACUUAUAUUUAUAUUGUAUAUAUAUGUAUAUAUAAAUUGAUUUAUUAAUUGUUAAAAAAUUAGGGUUGGAAGAGUUUGAUCAUUGUAUAUAUUAAAAAACACCAGAAAUGUCAGUAUUUUGAUCAAAUGCUGUCGGAUAAUCAUUGAAAGCAUAUUCUUGGUUGUAAGUAACUGGCGUUUCAGUAAUUGGUGCAGGUCUUGAAAGGAAUGUACUCUUUACAAUUGCUCCAAUAAUAAUUUGUGUAGCAAUGCAAAAAACAAAAUAAACCCACCAGCUAUAUUUCUUGUGUUCACAAAAUUUACCAAAAUAAUCUUCAGCACAUUCACAAGAAAAACCGCUAUUAGGGAUAUCAAUACAAGUCCCACCAUUUUUGCAAAUUUCUCCAGUUGAACAAGAUUUUUCGCAUUCUUGAAGUUGACAUGAAGCACGCUCAGUAAUUUCCUUUUCUGUCGGACACUGUACUCCACCAAGAUCUGAUUGAGCUAAAAUAAUUCUAUAUCUCAUCUUAUUACCUGGACCACAAGUAGAAGAGCAUAUACUCCAUGAAGUCCAGCUUGAGAGUCUACAAUUUACUGGACAACUUUGUUCAUUACAAGAUUCUAUAUCUGAUUCAUUAUCUUCACAUCUCCCUUUAAUGUCAGAUUUCCAAAUCAGCUUUCUAGUUCGAGAACGAAAUCCACCUUGGCAAGUAACACUACACUCACUCCAAGGAGACCAAGAAGAAUAGGCACAAUCUUCACAAGAUAUGCUAGUGUUACAUCCUUCAUUUUCUAUCAAGUUUGGACAUGUGGUACCUUCAAAAGAAGCUGGUCUUAAUAUUAAUCUAGUUCUUGAUCUAGUACCUAUCUGACAACUUGAACUACAUUGGGACCAAGAACUCCAUUCUGAUACGAUACAAUCAACUUGGUCAGCUGAAAGAUAGGCAUCUUUUGAUUCUACCUUAACGCUGACUAUUGGUUCAUUUAGACAUCUUUUCCAAAAUAAAGAUUCAGUAUAACCUUGGUUAAAAGAAAUUGAAAUUCCAUAUUCUUGUCUUUGAAAGCUAAUAACCCACUUAUCAAAGAAUGGCCAUUUUUCAAAUCUUGGGGAAUGUUCUACUACGGAUUUAAGCCUUCUUACAACUUUUCCUUCAUAAGUACAUUCUCUUACUACUGUAGUGAGCAAUGGAUAAACUGAAAUGAUCAAUUCAUAAGAAUUUUUUUUUGCGGUUGCAAACAAUAUUUGGAAUCCAUUGUCAGAAAUACUACCACCGGCAGAGAAGACUUGAUUUAAAGGCCAAAUAUCAUCAUCUAUUAAUUGAAUAUCAGUAUCUUGUUCUAUUGCAAAUCCAAAACUAGAAAUUCAUUUUUAAAAUAUAAACAAAUAAUCAAAUAAAGUUAUUUUUUUUAAAGAAAAUUACGUCAAACUUACGUAUAUGGAUUGGUGCAUAAGCGAGUUUCAGGCAGACGAAAAUCUGCAAUUUGUGAACUUAUAUUAUCAAAUCUUAAAAAAAAUAAUAAACCAAUUAAUAUUAUGCCAUUAAUAAUAUGGCAAGACAACAUUGAGCAUGAAUUCUUUAUUAAACCUUAAUUCUGGAUAAUUGUAAUUAAAACAUAAAGCUUAUUUCGAUGGAUUAAUAUUUAUUAUCCUUCACAAAUUCUAAUAAAUUAUUAAUUUAACUAAAAUAAUGGUAAAUUAUAGAUAAAUUUUAAUUUAUCUAAUAUAUUAUUACAUGGAUCAUAUUUAUAUUUAUUCUUAUUAUAUUAUUUAUAUUACUUAUACAGCAUUGAUAAUAAUAUUGGAAAUAAGUGGGGCAUGUUUUGGCGGGCUGAAAUGGUACCUAUUACCUGCUGUUUAAUAUUGAAAUAAAUAUUAAUCUAAAUUGAACAUGGGAAAAGGAGUUGAUAAUAGGAUAAAUUACACACACAGAGAAAAGUAUUAAAUUUAAAAUUAUAUUAUUAAUAAAAUUAUAUUUUUUAAAGGUUGCUGAAUAAUAUCACAUUUGGUGUAUUCUUUUAAAUUAAGUAAAAGUAUUGGCUAUAAAUAAGGAUUGAAU